CUAUAUGCAGUAUUUGUAACUAUAUAUAGACCCAAACUCAAUAUUUAAUUUGAUACAUUUAAAUCAAAUUGCUGUAGUGAGAACUGCAUGAGGAGACUUAACUACUGCAAUUGAAACUACAGAAGGAUACCCAACUGCAAUGGUUGGAAUUAUACCAAAAUUAACCAUAAUUCCAACUGUAGCAAUUAAAAAGAGUGAUUUUAAACAGAAGUAAGCUUACGUUCUUAAUUAUUUUUUUAAACAUAAUUUUUUUUACCUAAAUCGGAGAUAAUCUCGCUAUCACUAUAUAAAGUGAUAAAAUUUUAAAAAUAUACUUCUUGAGCAACUAAAUAAAUUAUUUAUACUUACAGUAUUUUUUUAUUACAUCCAAUCAAAUAAGAUACACAUAGCUCUACCUGCUUUAUUUUUAACCGCAUAAAUUUCUAAUUAUAUUAUAUUUCUAUUUAUACUGAAUCGAACUGACUCCU
rnacentral:lncRNA from 1 species